rnacentral:rRNA from 1 species
CCACUUCCAAGGGAAGGCAGCAGGCGCGCAAACUUACCCUAAUCUCGAUUUCGAGGAGGUAGUGACAAGAAAUACCGAUGCGGGACCCUAUGGGUGCCGCGUUCGGAAUGAGUACGAUAUAAACCAACUAACGAGGAACGAUUGGAGGGCAAGUCUGGUGCCAGCAGCCGCGGUAAUUCCAGCUCCAAUAGCGUACGUUAAAGUUGCUGCAGUUAAAAAGCUCGUASUUGAACGUUGGGUCCCGUGGGACGGCGCCGCCCCUCGCAAGAUGGGACGGCACGGCCCCGGGGCUCGGAAUU